rnacentral:rRNA from 1 species
AUACGGAGGGUGCGAGCGUUAAUCGGAAUUACUGGGCGUAAAGCGUACGUAGGCGGUUGGUUAAGUUAGAUGUGAAAGCCCCGGGCUUAACCUGGGGACUGCGUUUAAAACUGGCGAACUAGAGUUGAGUAGAGGGGAGUGGAAUUUCAGGUGUAGCGGUGAAAUGCGUAGAGAUCUGAAGGAACACCAGUGGCGAAGGCGACUCCCUGGACUCGAACUGACGCUGAGGUACGAAAGCGUGGGUAGCAAACGGGAUUAGAAACCCUAGUAGUCC